rnacentral:tRNA from 2 species
UAGUAAGUGGUGUAAAAAGCAUGUGUGAUUUCGGCUCAUAGGGUAAUAGGUUUUCUUACUAA